rnacentral:lncRNA from 12 species
GGGGGGGGGGGGGGGGGGGGGGGGGGGGGGGGGGGGGGGGGGGGGGGGGGGGGGGGGGGGGGGGGGGGGGAAGAGAGAGAGAGAGAGAGAGAGAGAGAGAGAGAGAGAGGCUCCAGCAGAAGAAGGAAGUUGGGCAGUGCUGGGGGAUGGAUGGAUGGAUGAUGGAUGGAUGGAUGGAUGGAUGAUGGAUGAUGGAUGGAUGAUGGAUGAUGGAUGGAUGGAUGGAUGAUGGAUGAUGGAUGGAUGAUGGAUGAUGGA